rnacentral:rRNA from 1 species
AGAGUUCGAUCCUGGCUCAGGAUGAACGCUGGCGGCGCGCCUAACACAUGCAAGUCGAACGGCACCCCUCUCCGGAGGGAAGCGAGUGGCGAACGGCUGAGUAACACGUGGAGAACCUGCCCCCUCCCCCGGGAUAGCCGCCCGAAAGGACGGGUAAUACCGGAUACCCCGGGGUGCCGCAUGGCACCCCGGCUAAAGCCCCGACGGGAGGGGAUGGCUCCGCGGCCCAUCAGGUAGACGGCGGGGUGACGGCCCACCGUGCCGACAACGGGUAGCCGGGUUGAGAGACCGACCGGCCAGAUUGGGACUGAGACACGGCCCAGACUCCUACGGGAGGCAGCAGUGGGGAAUCUUGCGCAAUGGGCGAAAGCCUGACGCAGCAACGCCGCGUGCGGGAUGACGGCCUUCGUGGUUGUAAACCGCUUUCAGCAGGGACGAAAAUGACGGUACCUGCAGAAGAAGCCCCGGCUAACUACGUGCCAGCAGCCGCGGUAAUACGUAGGGGGCGAGCGUUAUCCGGAUUCAUUGGGCGUAAAGCGCGCGUAGGCGGCCCGGCAGGCCGGGGGUCGAAGCGGGGGGCUCAACCCCCCGAAGCCCCCGGAACCUCCGCGGCUUGGGUCCGGUAGGGGAGGGUGGAACACCCGGUGUAGCGGUGGAAUGCGUAGAUAUCGGGAGGAACACCGGUGGCGAAGGCGGCCCUCUGGGCCGAGACCGACGCUGAGGCGCGAAAGCUGGGGGAGCGAACAGGAUUAGAUACCCUGGUAGUCCCAGCCGUAAACGAUGGACGCUAGGUGUGGGGGGACGAUCCCCCCGUGCCGCAGCCAACGCAUUAAGCGUCCCGCCUGGGGAGUACGGCCGCAAGGCUAAAACUCAAAGGAAUUGACGGGGGCC